rnacentral:rRNA from 1 species
UACGGAGGGAGCUAGCGUUGUUCGGAAUUACUGGGCGUAAAGCGCACGUAGGCGGCUUUGUAAGUUAGAGGUGAAAGCCCGGGGCUCAACUCCGGAAUUGCCUUUAAGACUGCAUCGCUAGAAUUGUGGAGAGGUAAGUGGAAUUCCGAGUGUAGAGGUGAAAUUCGUAGAUAUUCGGAAGAACACCAGUGGCGAAGGCGACUUACUGGACACAUAUUGACGCUGAGGUGGCGAAAGCGUGGGGAGCAAACAGG